AACGAGGUUGUUGCUGGCCGAUUGUGCAUGUGCACGCCUUGCCGUCUUGUCCAUUCGUCACACCUGUGCACCAUUGUAGCUGGGGGGAUGAUCACGGGAUCGUUGCAGAUCCCGAAUGCCCCUCGCUAUGAACGUUGUUAUAACGCCCUCGAUAAAAAGUAGAUUUGGAAUGUUAUUGGAAAAUGAAAUACAACUUUCAGCAACGGAUCUCUUGGCUCUCGCAUCGAUGAAGAACGCAGCGAAAUGCGAUAAGUAAUGUGAAUUGCAGAAUUCAGUGAAUCAUCGAAUCUUUGAACGCACCUUGCGCUCCUUGGUAUUCCGAGGAGCAUGCCUGUUUGAGUGUCAUAAAAUUCUCAACUGCUUUGGCUUGGUUUCAAAGUGAAGUUGGACUUGGAGUGCUUGCUGGGCUGUGUCCGGCUCCUCCCAAUAGCAUUAUUUAUAUAUCCAUCUCGGUAUAUAUCUCGGCAAGAAGUAUCUUCGACGUGAUAACAUUU
rnacentral:misc_RNA from 1 species